AAUCAACGCUGGCGGCGCGCUUAACACAUGCAAGUCGAACGAGAAAGCAGGGGCAACUCUGUGAGUACAGUGGCGUACGGGUGAGUAACACGUGGAUCAUCUACCCUGGAGUGGGGAAUAACGCUGGGAAACCGGCGCUAAUACCGCAUAAUCCCGAGAGGGCAAAGGAGCAAUUUGCUUCAGGAGGAGUCCGCGGCCGAUUAGCUUGUUGGUAGGGUAAAAGCCUACCAAGGCUGCGAUCGGUAGCCGGCCUGAGAGGGCACACGGCCACACUGGCACUGAAACACGGGCCAGACUCCUACGGGAGGCAGCAGUGGGGAAUCUUGCACAAUGGGGGCAACCCUGAUGCAGCGACGCCGCGUGAGCGAUGAAGCCCUUCGGGUGUAAAGCUCUUUCGGUCAGGGAAGAUUAUGACGGUACCUGCAGAAGCAGCUGCGGCUAACUACGUGCCAGCAGCCGCCGCGGUAAG
rnacentral:rRNA from 1 species